GCAAGUCGAACGAAGUAGCAAUACUUAGUGGCAGACGGGUGAGUAACAUGUAGGUAUCUGCCCUUUGGCCUGGAAUAACACGAGGAAACUUGUGCUAAUACCGGAUAAGUCUUUACGGAGAAAGCUUUAUGCACCAUUGGAUGAGCCUGCACUUGAUUAGUUUGUUGGUGGGGUAAUGGCCUACCAAGACCGUGAUCAAUAGCUGAUUUGAGAGGAUGAUCAGCCACAUUGGGACUGAGACACGGCCCAAACUCCUACGGGAGGCAGCAGUGGGGAAUCUUGCACAAUGGAGGAAACUCUGAUGCAGCGAUGCCGCGUGAGUGAAGAAGGCCUUUGGGUUGUAAAGCUCUUUCGUCGGGGAAGAAAAUGACUGUACCCGAAUAAGAAGGUCCGGCUAACUUCGUGCCAGCAGCCGCGGUAAUACGAAGGGACCUAGCGUAGUUCGGAAUUACUGGGCUUAAAGAGUUCGUAGGUGGUUGAAAAAGUUGGUGGUGAAAUCCCAGAGCUUAACUCUGGAACUGCCAUCAAAACUUUUCAGCUAGAGUAUGAUAGAGGAAAGCAGAAUUUCUAGUGUAGAGGUGAAAUUCGUAGAUAUUAGAAAGAAUACCAAUUGCGAAGGCAGCUUUCUGGAUCAUUACUGACACUGAGGAACGAAAGCAUGGGUAGCGAAGAGGAUUAGAUACCCUCGUAGUCCAUGCCGUANACGAUGUGUGUUAGACGUUGGAAAUUUAUUUUCAGUGUCGCAGCGAAAGCGAUAAACACACCGCCUGGGGAGUACGACCGCAAGGUUAAAACUC
rnacentral:rRNA from 1 species